CAUCAGUAUCUCUCCCCGCCAGCUCCCAGCAUGGGGCCUUCCACAGUUGACCUGGCCUCUGUGACUUCUGUGGAGAAGAGAACCCUCAUUCCAGACCACAGACACACCAGCUGACAGCUGAUCCUCUGGGAGGCGUGAAGAUGGAGUUGGCAGCUGAGGAGCUGUGAGGGUGCCGAGCCAGGCACCGGGUGGAGCUGCUCCACAUUCAGGAUGGGCGAUGGCGGCUUCCAGGAAGGCAGAGGAGCCUCUCAGAGGGCAGGAAGAGGAAGAGGAGGCAGAGCUGCCGGGAAGAACUGUGGGGUCAGGGUCAGUUAUCCGCAGGAGGGGACCAAGGUCUUCAGGGAG
rnacentral:lncRNA from 1 species